UGAGUACGAGAUGCUACGGCAUCGAAGCAGUCUAUGUCAUACUUCCAAGAAAAGCUUGCACUGUCAGAAAACAGAUAAUGCCUGUACCAUAACCGACACAGGUGGGUAGGUAGAGUAUACUAAGGGGCGCGAGAUAACUCUCUCUAAGGAACUCGGCAAAAUGACUCCGUAACUUCGGGAGAAGGAGUGCCUUAUUUUUAAGGUUGCAAUAACAAGAUCCAAGCAACUGUUUACCAAAAACACAGGUCUCCGCUAAGUCGUAAGACGAUGUAUGGGGGCUGACGCCUGCCCAGUGCCAGAAGGUUAAAGAAGUCGGUUAGCAUUCGCGAGGCUGGUAACUGAAGCCCUGGUGAACGGCGGCCGUAACUAUAACGGUCCUAAGGUAGCGAAAUUCCUUGUCGGGUAAGUUCCGACCCGCACGAAAGACGUAAUGAUUUGGAUACUGUCUCGGAGAGGGGCUCGGUGAAAUAGACUUGUCUGUGAAGAUGCGGACUACCUGCACCUGGACAGAAAGACCCUAUGAAGCUUUACUGUAACUUGAAAUUGAAAUUGGACUUUAUUUGCGCAGUAUAGGUGGGAGGCGUUGAAAAUAUUCUUGCGGGAAUAUUGGAGCCAUCAGUGAGAUAUCACUCUUGUAAUGUUAGAUUUCUAACUUUAUAUCAUUAUCUGGUUAAAGAACAGUUUCAGGCGGGCAGUUUGACUGGGGCGGUCGCCUCCCAAAUGGUAACGGAGGCGCACAAAGGUUUCCUCUGAACGGGUAGAAAUCGUAUCUAGAGUGUAAAGGCAUAAGGAAGCUUGACUGUGAGACCUACAAGUCGAGCAGGGACGAAAGUCGGUCUUAGUGAUCUGACGGUGCUGAGUGGAAAGGCCGUCACUCAACGGAUAAAAGUUACUCUAGGAUAACAGGCUGAUCUCCCCCAAGAGUUCACAUCGACGGGGAGGUUUGGCACCUCGAUGUCGGCUCAUCGCAUCCUGGGGCGGUAGUACGUCCCAAGGGUUGGGCUGUUCGCCCAUGAAAGCGGUACGCGAGCUGGGUUCAGAACGUCGUGAGACAGUUCGGUCCAUAUCCGGUGUAGGCGUUAGAAUAUUGAGAGGAGCCUUCUUUAGUACGAGAGGACCGAGAAGGACAUACCUCUGGUGUACCAGUUAUCGUGCCAACGGUAAACGCUGGGUAGCUAUGUAUGGAGUGGAUAACCGCUGAAAGCAUCUAAGUGGGAAGCCCACCUCAAGAUAAGUAUUCUCAU
rnacentral:rRNA from 1 species